rnacentral:rRNA from 1 species
UUUACCUACGGGAGGCAGCAGUGGGGAAUAUUGCACAAUGGGGGAAACCCUGAUGCAGCAACGCCGCGUGAAGGAAGACGGUUUUCGGGUUGUAAACUUCUUUUCUCAGGGACGAAGCAAGUGACGGUACCUGAGGAAUAAGCCACGGCUAACUACGUGCCAGCAGCCGCGGUAAUACGUAGGUGGCAAGCGUUAUCCGGAUUUACUGGGUGUAAAGGGCGUGUAGGCGGGGACGCAAGUCAGAUGUGAAAACCACGGGCUCAACCUGUGGCCUGCAUUUGAAACUGUGUUUCUUGAGUACUGGG